rnacentral:rRNA from 1 species
GACGAACGCUGGCGGCGUGCUUAACACAUGCAAGUCGAACGGAAAGGCCCUGCCUUUGUGGGGUACUCGAGUGGCGAACGGGUGAGUAACACGUGAGUAACCUGCCCUUGACUUUGGGAUAACUUCAGGAAACUGGGGCUAAUACCGGAUAGGAGCUCCUGCUGCAUGGUGGGGGUUGGAAAGUUUCGGCGGUUGGGGAUGGACUCGCGGCUUAUCAGCUUGUUGGUGGGGUAGUGGCUUACCAAGGCUUUGACGGGUAGCCGGCCUGAGAGGGUGACCGGCCACAUUGGGACUGAGAUACGGCCCAGACUCCUACGGGAGGCAGCAGUGGGGAAUAUUGCACAAUGGGCGGAAGCCUGAUGCAGCAACGCCGCGUGCGGGAUGACGGCCUUCGGGUUGUAAACCGCUUUCGCCUGUGACGAAGCGUGAGUGACGGUAAUGGGUAAAGAAGCACCGGCUAACUACGUG